GUAGGUGGCAAGCGUUGUCCGGAAUUAUUGGGCGCAAAGCGCGCGCAGGCGGUCCUUUAAGUCUGGUGUGAAAGCCCACGGCUCAACCGUGGAGGGUCAUUGGAAACUGGGGGACUUGAGUACAGAAGAGGAAAGCGGAAUUCCAAGUGUAGCGGUGAAAUGCGUAGAGAUUUGGAGGAACACCAGUGGCGAAGGCGGCUUUCUGGUCUGUAACUGACGCUGAGGCGCGAAAGCGUGGGGAGCAAACAGGGAUUAGAUACCCUGGUAGUCCACGCCGUAAACGAUGAGUGCUAAGUGUUAGGGGGUUUCCCGCCCCUUAGUGCUGCGGCUAACGCAUUAAGCACUCCGCCUGGGGGAGUACGGCCCGCAAGGCUG
rnacentral:rRNA from 1 species